rnacentral:rRNA from 1 species
GACGAACGCUGGCGGCGCGCCUAAUACAUGCAAGUAGAACGCUGAAGAGAGGAGCUUGCUCUUCUUGGAUGAGUUGCGAACGGGUGAGUAACGCGUAGGUAACCUGCCUUGUAGCGGGGGAUAACUAUUGGAAACGAUAGCUAAUACCGCAUAACAAUGGAUGACACAUGUCAUUUAUUUGAAAGGGGCAAUUGCUCCACUACAAGAUGGACCUGCGUUGUAUUAGCUAGUAGGUGAGGUAAUGGCUCACCUAGGCGACGAUACAUAGCCGACCUGAGAGGGUGAUCGGCCACACUGGGACGGAGACACGGCCCAGACUCCUACGGGAGGCAGCAGUAGGGAAGCUUCGGCAAUGGGGGCAACCCUGACCGAGCAACGCCGCGUGAGUGAAGAAGGUUUUCGGAUCGUAAAGCUCUGUUGUAAGUCAAGAACGGGUGUGAGAGUGGAAAGUUCACACUGUGACGGUAGCUUACCAGAAAGGGACGGCUAACUACGUG